CGUGCUCACUUGGCCUCUGCCACCUCCCACUUUCUGCUGUCGUUCAUUUCUUGCUGCGCCACCACUGGCUGCAGCAGCCGACUGACUUUGGUUGUGCAAUCAGGGUUACUAACUCAGGGAAGAAAAAAGAAAAGAAACUGCUGAUUCAGUGUGGUCUCCUGGGAUCGAGGGUUUGCUGAAACAAUAUGAUUAUUAAUAGAACAGCAGUUUCCAGCACAUUAUGGGACAUGUCUGCUGGGCCAUCAGCCUCGCCCUCCAGGCUCUCAGCCUCCUCUCCCUCCUGAAGCUCCUCCUGCCUCUUUUGAAGCACUCUGCCAAAGUCUUGGGGAAGAGCCUGAAGUCCUCCUGCUCACCCUAGCCCUUCCCUUCCCAUGCUGUGAUGCUGGUGGCUCAUGUUGGGCAGAAGGUACUCCUCAUGCUCUCAUUGCAAAGGUGCACCACAGCUGAGCUGAGUUUUAAGGAUGGACCACAGCCACAUCAAUGUCAUGGGCCCUCAGGUAACUGCUGGUGGAAGGCAAGGGAAGUGUCUGCCCCCUGGCCAUGCCCACUGCCUCUCUCAUGUCAUUUCACCACUUGUGUCAGCUGCAGGUGUUUGUCACCACCAGAAGUUGCCUACUCAUGGCUGAAAGAAGAGACGUUACGCCAAGCUCUGGGCUGGCGUUAGGUAAUCACGGUGCUUCUCAGCAGUGAUACAGCCAGGGAGCCUGGACAGAUGUCAGCUUCCUCAAGAUAAGCAUUUAUCUUGAAGGCACAGAAUCUGUGAUUUUUUUUAAGGUGUUUUUUUUGUUGUUUUGUUUUGCCAAAUGAGAAGAUGUCCUAGCUCAGAAGUGUUUUUCCAUCAGCAUGGCAGUGUUUCCAAACUCACCUAAUGGAUUCCAAAAUGUCCGAGGUAUAAAUGGGCAGAAUUCAGGGGGCUUUGGUGCCCCUCAAAAGACGGGGAAGAGGUGAGGGCACAAACAGGCCACAUGUCAGGAGAGCCAGGGCAGCAGCCUCUGCUGUUUUGGCGGUUGCCUCUAGACUGAAGUGAGAGUGGCAGCCAAAAAGACCGCAGUGCUCUCCUGCAGGACCUGGUAGCCGUGGAUGACCUGGGACAUGUCUGGUAGAGACCAGAGCCUCUGCCUCUGCAGUGAAUGAACUGGGCUGGUAAGCUUUGACAUCCCAGUGGGCUCUUGUGAUGAGUGGCCACCAACCAAACACCUGCUCAGCCGCUUGCUCAGCCUCCUCCUCCCUUGGGACAGGGAGAAAACAGAAGGAAAGCAAGAAGACUCCUGCAGUGACAUGAUGGCACUUUGGUGGGGAAAGCAAAGGCUGUGUGUGCAAGCAAAGCAGAAAGAGGAAUGAAUCAAUUCUCUACUUCCCAUUAGCACGCAGAUACACAGCCACUUCCUGGGAAGCAGGCCCUUGGCACGUGUGAUAGUUGUUUGGGAAGAAAAAUGCCAUAACCACAAGCAUUCCCCCUUCCUUCUUCUUUGCCUGAGCUUUUACUGCUGAGCACAACAUCACAUGGGGGGGAAUAUCCUCGUGGUCAGUUUGGGGUGUGCCUUGCUCUCCCCGAUGAAGACCAAGAUGUUCAGUGCCUGUGCCUAUCUGGGGACACUGCUGAACUCAGAGGGUGCCAGAGCAUGCUGUGAGUGAUCUGCCCACGGGCAGCUCACUGAGGGGUCAGGUCUGGGGUGUCCCUUGUGAGGGUCCCACUGGCUGCCCAGCUCAGCCCUGGUCAGCACACCCUCAAAGAACAAGCGGAUCUGACUUGAAGGACAAGAAAUGUUGUGGUGCCUGGAGGGUUUCCAUGCAGAAGAGAGGCUGAGGUGAACACACAAGAUCUGAACAUCGGUGAUUUCUGCUGGGGCAUUAAAGGUGGAGCCUGGACCCAUAUGGGAGCAAGGACUUAUAAAUAUUUUCAGAUCCCUGGUGUUUAAAUCCACAGACCACCUGUGGAUGCAAUUCUUGAGUGGGUAUUGCCAGAGGUGAGGUCCUUGUCCAAUGCAGACACCGCCACAGGGAGUCCCGAUGCUACAUGCCUGAGGUCACCACACUGCAAAACCCACUUUUGCCAAGGGAUCUGCCACCCCAUGGGCCUCAGAAUGAAAGAAGACAGAAGGUAGACCCCCAUUUUGUGUCCCUCCUUACCAGCCCGGGGCCCUUGGAGAGCCCACAUCCCCAUGUGCCACCGCUCCAGCUGCCGCGGCAGCACCUGGGCACUCGUGGGGCCGCGGGGCAGCACUUGUGCUAAAGCAAUAAAACCCCUGGCGCAGCCUGCCUGAUGUCUCUCCUCUUCAGCUUGAUGUGUUGCUUGGCUUUGUUGUAGUGAUUGAAACCAGAUUUUCUUUCCCUUCCAUGAGUUAUGUUAAUUUGUGUUUCAUCAGAACUUGCCUCUUCUCCUCCCUUUCUUUUUUAUUUUAUUUUUUUUUCCCCUUUUUUCCCUUUAGGCUGGAUCCAGCUGCACCACGAAUUCAAGGAACAACCUGCAAAAUAUUUUAAUGACUUCAACCUGCUCUUUGAGGUGAAUUAAUACCAGGUUGGCCUCUGCAGCCUGGUGGAAUAGUCAGGGUUGGCUGAACAGGCCACCCUUGGAGCUGAAAAAAUAUGUUCUGCAAGGCAGCCCCUCCUGAUAGGCAGCUCUGCCUUCAAGGAGCCCACACGCCUCGUCCACGGCUGUCCCCUGCUUGGGUACAGCUGAUGCCAGAGAUCUGAUGUGGCUUUGGAGACAUAAUGAGGUGUGCAAAGGGCAGCCACAUGAGGAUGGUUGGAGCUGUUGCUGGUGUGCUGCAGGGAGAGGUCAGCUGCUCCCUGAUGGUCCUCUGAUGGGAUUCUUUGGCUUGUCCCACGCUUUCAGCAAGGCCAAAAGAUUUCUCUAUGCACAGCAGACCAUGCGACAACAGCCCUGCUUUCCUCUACCCCUUGGGCUUUUAA